GACGAACGCUGGCGGCGUGCCUAAUACAUGCAAGUCGAACGAACCGCGACUAAGUGCUUGCACUAAGUCAAGGUGAGUGGCGAACGGGUGAGUAACACGUGGGUAACCUACCUCAUAGUGGGGGAUAACAGUCGGAAACGACUGCUAAUACCGCAUAGGACAUAGGAUCACAUGAUCCAGUGAGGAAAGGUGGCGCAAGCUAUCGCUAAGAGAUGGACCCGCGGUGCAUUAGCUAGUUGGUAGGGUAAAGGCCUACCAAGGCGAUGAUGCAUAGCCGACCUGAGAGGGUGAUCGGCCACAUUGGGACUGAGACGCGGCCCAAACUCCUACGGGAGGCAGCAGUAGGGAAUCUUCCGCAAUGGACGCAAGUCUGACGGAGCAACGCCGCGUGAGUGAAGAAGGUCUUCGGAUCGUAAAGCUCUGUUGUUAGAGAAGAACAGCGCAUAGAGUAACUGCUAUGCGUGUGACGGUAUCUAACCAGAAAGCCACGGCUAACUACGU
rnacentral:rRNA from 1 species